rnacentral:rRNA from 1 species
GCAGAACGCGAAGAACCUUACCAAGGCUUGACAUAUACGAGAACGCUGCAGAAAUGUAGAACUCUUUGGACACUCGUAAACAGGUGGUGCAUGGUUGUCGUCAGCUCGUGUCGUGAGAUGUUGGGCUAAGUCCCGCAACGAGCGCAACCCUCGUUCUAUGUUGCCAGCACGUAAUGGUGGGAACUCAUGGGAUACUGCCGGGGUCAACUCGGAGGAAGGUGGGGAUGACGUCAAAUCAUCAUGCCCCUUAUGUCUUGGGCUUCACGCAUGCUACAAUGGCCGGUACAAAGGGCUGCAAUACCGUAAGGUGGAGCGAAUCCCAAAAAGCCGGUCCCAGUUCGGAUUGAGGUCUGCAACUCGACCUCAUGAAGUCGGAAUCGCUAGUAAUCGCAAAUCAGCAUGUUGCGGUGAAUACGUUCCCGGGUCUUGUACACACCG